rnacentral:rRNA from 2 species
CGCUAUAAGUGUCCUAAAGGGUUGUCGUAGACUACGACGUUGAUAGGCAGGGUGUGUAAGUGCUGCGAGGCAUUGAGCUAACCUGUACUAAUUGCCCGUGAGGCUUAACCAUACAACACCCAAGGGGUUU